rnacentral:rRNA from 1 species
AGUAACUGCGAGUGAAGCGGGAAAAGCUCAAAUUUAAAAUCUGGCGGUCUCCGGCYGUCCGAGUUGUAAUCUAGAGAAGUGUUAUCCGCGCUGGACCGUGUACAAGUCUCCUGGAAUGGAGCGUCAUAGAGGGUGAGAAUCCCGUCUUUGACACGGACUGCCAGGGCUUUGUGAUGCGCUCUCAAAGAGUCGAGUUGUUUGGGAAUGCAGCUCAAAAUGGGUGGUAAAUUCCAUCUAAAGCUAAAUAUUGGCGAGAGACCGAUAGCGAACAAGUACCGUGAGGGAAAGAUGAAAAGAACUUUGGAAAGAGAGUUAAACAGUACGUGAAAUUGCUGAAAGGGAAACGCUUGAAGUCAGUCGCGUUGGCCGGGGAUCAACCUUGCUUUUGCUGGGCGUACUUUCCGGUUGAUGGGUCAGCAUCAAUUUUGACCGUUGGAUAAAGUCUAGGGGAAUGUGGCAUCUUCGGAUGUGUUAUAGCCYUUGGUCGCAUACAACGGUUGGGAUUGAGGAACUCAGCACGCCGCAAGGCCGGGUACUUGUACCACGUUCGUGCUUAGGAUGCUGGCAUAAUGGCUUUAAUCGACCCGUCUUGAAACACGGACCAAGGAGUCUAACAUGCCUGCGAGUGUUUGGGUGGAAAACUCGGACGCGUAAUGAAAGUGAAAGUUGAGAUCCCUGUCGUGGGGAGCAUCGACGCCCGGACCAGACCUUUUGUGACGGAUCCGCGGUAGAGCAUGUAUGUUGGGACCCGAAAGAUGGUGAACUAUGCCU